GACAGAGGUGCCGAGCGUUAGGCGGAAUCACUGGGCUUAAAGCGUGUGUAGGCGGAUCUGUAAGUACCUUGUGAAAUCCCACGGCUCAACCGUGGAACUGCUUGGUAUACUGCGGGUCUUGAGCCACCUAGGGGCAAGUGGAACAAACGGUGGAGCGGUGAAAUGCGUAGAUAUCGUUUGGAACGCCAAUGGUGAAAACAACUUGCUGGGGGUGUACUGACGCUGAGACGACGAAGCCGGGUAGGGAGCGAAACAGGGAUUAGAACUACCGUAGU
rnacentral:rRNA from 1 species